GUGUAUUUCACCCACGGGCAGGGGGCUCUGCUGGACCCCGCUCAGAGAGCCCUCUACAGGGAUGUCAUGCAGGAGAACUACGAGAUGGUGACCUCGCUGGGAUUUCCCAUUCCCAAACCUGAGCUGAUUGUCCAGCUGGAACGAGGGGAAGAGCCGUGGGUGCCCGAUCUCCAGGCCUGCGAGGAAAGGCGGCUUCCGAGAUACACCUAUACAGCACAAUGACUCCUGUCUGGAUUGUGUCUCUCCCAGCAGGUGCUGAGCGAGGGA